GACGAACGCUGGCGGCGUGCUUAACACAUGCAAGUCGAACGGAAAGGCCCUGCUUUUGUGGGGUGCUCGAGUGGCGAACGGGUGAGUAACACGUGAGUAACCUGCCCUUGACUUUGGGAUAACUUCAGGAAACUGGGGCUAAUACCGGAUAGGAGCUCCUGCUGCAUGGUGGGGGUUGGAAAGUUUCGGCGGUUGGGGAUGGACUCGCGGCUUAUCAGCUUGUUGGUGGGGUAGUGGCUUACCAAGGCUUUGACGGGUAGCCGGCCUGAGAGGGUGACCGGCCACAUUGGGACUGAGAUACGGCCCAGACCCCUACGGGAGGCAGCAGUGGGGAAUAUUGCACAAUGGGCGGAAGCCUGAUGCAGCAACGCCGCGUGCGGGAUGACGGCCUUCGGGUUGUAAACCGCUUUCGCCUGUGACGAAGCGUGAGUGACGGUAAUGGGUAAAGAAGCACCGGCUAACUACGUGCCAGCAGCCGCGGUGAUACGUAGGGUGCGAGCGUUGUCCGGAUUUAUUGGGCGUAAAGGGCUCGUAGGUGGUUGAUCGCGUCGGAAGUGUAAUCUUGGGGCUUAACCCUGAGCGUGCUUUCGAUACGGGUUGACUUGAGGAAGGUAGGGGAGAAUGGAAUUCCUGGUGGAGCGGUGGAAUGCGCAGAUAUCAGGAGGAACACCAGUGGCGAAGGCGGUUCUCUGGGCCUUUCCUGACGCUGAGGAGCGAAAGCGUGGGGAGCGAACAGGCUUAGAUACCCUGGUAGUCCACGCUGUAAACGGUGGGUACUAGGUGUGGGGUCCAUUCCACGGGUUCCGUGCCGUAGCUAACGCUUUAAGUACCCCGCCUGGGGAGUACGGCCGCAAGGCUAAAACUCAAAGGAAUUGACGGGGCCCCGCACAAGCGGCGGAGCAUGCGGAUUAAUUCGAUGCAACGCGUAGAACCUUACCUGGGUUUGACAUGGAUCGGGAGCGCUCAGAGAUGGGUGUGCCUCUUUUGGGGUCGGUUCACAGGUGGUGCAUGGCUGUCGUCAGCUCGUGUCGUGAGAUGUUGGGUUAAGUCCCGCAACGAGCGCAACCCUUGUUCACUGUUGCCAGCACGUUAUGGUGGGGACUCAGUGGAGACCGCCGGGGUCAACUCGGAGGAAGGUGGGGAUGACGUCAAGUCAUCAUGCCCCUUAUGUCCAGGGCUUCACGCAUGCUACAAUGGCUGGUACAGAGAGUGGCGAGCCUGUGAGGGUGAGCGAAUCUCGGAAAGCCGGUCUCAGUUCGGAUUGGGGUCUGCAACUCGACCUCAUGAAGUCGGAGUCGCUAGUAAUCGCAGAUCAGCAACGCUGCGGUGAAUACGUUCCCGGG
rnacentral:rRNA from 1 species